CUCCUGCACACCAGACUCCACUCCUGUAAUUAGGACAGACAGAGGGGAGGGAGAGAGGAGAGACAGAGAAAGUACCUAGGAGCAGCAGGCCUAACGAAGAGAAGGGGCAGGCUCAAAUGAAGCUCAGCGUUAAUUCUUUCAGGAAGACUUCUAAAGCUUUCUCCUCUCUCUCUUCCCUAAACUGAUCAGCUGAAUCGGGAUGUUGACUCUUCAGUUGUCAUUACAGGCAAAUCGAGCAACCCUCCUCCACCCCAUUCACCUCCAGUCGUCAUCAUUCACCGGACCCUGGGUCCUCCUCCAGAAGCCCCGCUCCCGUACAUCCAUCCAGUUCUUCAGGCUCCUUCACCACCACCAGUGUCUAGAUUCCAUCGGGGGGAUAUGCCUACUCAUGGCUCCUCUACCCCUUAUAAUAUUAUUUACAUAUCGAUGGAUAGGAGUCUAAUCGCCAAACACUCUGUACAUUUCAAUCUUCUUUUUUUUUUUAAGAUUAUUUUUUGGGCAUUUCUGCCUUAAUGGUAGGAAAGCAAUGAA